rnacentral:tRNA from 1 species
GGGCCUGUAGCUCAGUGGAUUAGAGCACGUGGCUACGAACCACGGUGUCGGGGGUUCAAAUCCCUCCUCGCCCGA